GUGUUUAUUCUCUUCUUGCUCUGGUUGAGGUUGAGUGAGGAACACUUACCAGCUUGUUUGAAACACCAAUGACUUUGUGUUCCAGAUGAUGGGGGGGGGGGGGGGGGGGGGUGCCAUCGCAAAAUGAAAAUAGCCGGCAAGUCACUCCAGUGCCAAAUGACCUUCCUCACUUCCUGUCUGUGAGGAUAGGGAAACUUCAAACGGGAGGUAAGAGGUCAUGGCCGCCGGGGAAGUGGCGGCGGGAGUGGAGGGAUUAAAAUGGAUCCAAGGCCGGAGAGGGCUUUAUUUUUUUAUUUUGUCACAGACAAGGAAAAGACACCCUCUUCCUCUGCUGGCGCCACUCUUCCAGUUCUUCCUCCACCCAUUUACUUUCAAUAUUUAGCAAGCAAUAGAUGGAUAUAUACACAGGUACAUACAUAGAUGGAUGAUAGGAUAGAUGGAUGAGGGAUGGCCAGAACAAUCGAUAGAUGAUGAAUGGAUCAAUAGAAGGAAUUAAUGGGUGAACAAUGAAACGACAGAGGGGAUGGUUGGCCAGCAUGACAGAUGACUGAAGGAUAGAUGGAGCAAUAGAAGGGAUAGAUGGAUGGAUGGAUAGAUGGAUGAACGGAAUGAUAGAUGAGCUAGAUGGAUAAAACUUGGAGGGAAUCUUAGGUGGACAAUGGACAACAGUCCUUGUAAUAGCUGGAUGAAUGAUUAAUGAAUAAAUGGUGGAUGAAACGCUGGACGAGUUAAGACGGACAAAGGAUGGAUGACCCGAUGGAUGGAUGGAUGGACAAAUGACAGAGUAAACAAAAGAUGGGGUAGAGGAAUGAUUAUAUGAACGAUAAAGGAUGGAAGUGACGCCAGAAGGAAUAGAUGGAUGGAUGAAACGAGUGAUGGGUAAAAUGACGACUCGAAGGAUGGAUGGAAUAAUAAACAGAGAUGGAUGGGUAGAAUGAUAGAUGAUGGACAGAACAAAUCAGGGGAUGGAUGGGAUGAAAGUGAAUGAGUGGAUGAAGGAUGGAUGGAACAUGAUGUAGUGAGUGGAUGAAAGAUGUCGUUGAUGGGUGGUUGAAAUGAUAGAUGGAGGGAUGGAAUAAUGGAGGGAGCACAAAAGAUGGAUAAUGAAAGGGUGGUACAAUGGAUGGUUGGCGGGGCAUGGAUGAAUUGGAAGAGAGGAAUGAUUGGCAGAUGGAACUACGGAUAGUAAGAUAGUAAGAGGACUAAAAAUAAGCAAGCCAGGCAUCCUUAUAAAUCACUUCUUUAUUUAAAUCAGCGUUAGGCAGUUAUGCUAUGAACAACAACAGUGUCCAAACAAAAUGGUGGCGACAAAAGAAAAGAAAAAAAAAUUAAGAGCAUAGACGUACAAUCAAAAAUGAACUGCACUUGGCACUGGAUAAGACAUCCACGGAAAAGGAGGAAAAGAAAAUAUACAAUCCAAAAAUCAUUAUAAAAAAAAAUAACAUGGUCAAGUGCCUCUAGGUGACGCCAGGGGACUCGAAGAAAGAGAAAAAAAAAAGACAGCCUUUUCCAUUUAAACCUUCAAUGUUUUGAGGAAAUAUACAACACCAGGCCUUUUUGAUCAACACUAAGGCAUAUUUAACACCCCCUCACGCUGAAAAGUACCAUCACACAAAAUAAGUCAAAGCAAGCUUCUUUGUUGUCUUUCAUUAUGUGUGUGAGCUCCUUUAAGACAGAGUUUCCCGAAACGCAACUUUUUUUCAUUGGGUAAUACAUUUUUAUGAAGUAACCAGUGCCACACCGUAUCAGGGUCACUUUUGGGAGUACAUUUGCAAACUUGAUACUCUAUUUACGGCGCUCCAGACAUGCGAAGAUUCCAACGACGGAAGAAGGAGCUAGUUAGCCGCCGUUACGCUCAGUCACAACCGUACUUUGUGUUCCUACAAUAGACGACUCCGUGUUCUGGUUUGCAAACCACUUCAGGUAAUGUAAACCGAGGGCUCGCCGUAGUGUUUAUGUGACUACGCUGUGCAUCCAACAACACCGCAGCUCUGCUUAUUGUCCGACUACAACACAAUGCCCCGUUUCAAUGGCAGAAAUAAACAUGACAUGUUUCGAGCAGGCCGGCUCACAAAAAUGUACAGAGGGUUCUAUGUUUACAACUGUACUAAUUUAAGAUGUUUGAAAUGGCAGGUUAAUGGAUUUGUUAGCACAGCAGGGUAAGAAUACGAUUAUAUAAUUUUUGGCCUCUCUCGGCUUUGUACAAAUAUUUACCGUAAUUACAACUAUAAUUAGCAUUCGCGUAACAGAGCAAAAGACUACAGCACGUUCCUACAAAUUCGGGUUUUGUCAAAUUUGGUUGGUCGCUACGAGCUCGCUACAGAGUGAUUCAUAACCUCGAAACGUUGUAUAUCGAGACUGUCAUUAAAUGGUGGAAAUCCGUGGCUAAAUUAGCGAUAAAACUACAAAUUACACAAUGUCUUCUGUAAAUGUUUGGAGAUGACGAAUGACUGCACAAUGAACUACUUGGAUACGACAAACUGUUGUUGAUGUGAUAUUUAUGGUCUCGAAGCGCAUUUAUACAAAUACUGUCUUUCCAACUUGAAAAUUGCACUAGCAUAGCUUAGCAAUAAGUAUUACGUUGAAUACAGCUGCUCACCACUGGCUUGUUGCGCAGGCGUAACCUCGAAGUCUUCUAUGUCGAGAACGUCGUAACUGGGGAUCCAUUAACAUGUACUUAUGUUUUGUUUUUUUUAAAGACCACAGGUCCUCAAAUUUGAUUUGCUUUCUCGACAAGCUCAGACUCUCAGGAUGAUGUUUUCAUUCACCAAGUCUCAACAAGCACCGGCUUUGAACAAAUGACUGACAAUAAGUUUAGUUUUCAUUUAUAAUAAUAAUUAGUAGGAGUCGUAGUAUUAUUGCUGAUUUUGUUGCUGUAAUUCAUAAAUUAUCUAUAAAGUUGUGAAUUGGCUUUCUCAAUAUAUGAGCGUCCGACACAGGAUGUUUCAAAGUUAUCAAUGGCUGCAGAUGAACUAAUCCAAUACGACAUACUUAGUACUUCAUUGUUUUACAAUAUGGUUGACAAGUGUUUGUCGUCAAGAUACUUUUUGGAAUGACAACGGGUGCGUUCUGACUUGUGUACAAAUUUGGGUUUCAUCGCCACCGUUCCGAGGAAGGACACCCAAACUUCAGAGGGAAACGCUGCUUUGACAAGAGUUCAACUUCAUUAAAACCAAACUUCUGUUAUCAGGGUUACACUCCAUUUACAAUGGUAGUAGUGCACUGCAACAAAGGAGAGGGUGAAAAAAAAGAAGAAAAAGACGGCAAAAACACAAUGACAGAAAGUAAAGUCAUCCCUCUCCCUGGUAAGAAAAAAAA